rnacentral:misc_RNA from 1 species
AACCAUAGAAACCUGCGGAGUACCUGCGGCAGGAUCAUUACCGAGUUUACAACUCCCAAACCCCUGUGAACAUACCACUUGUUGCCUCGGCGGAUCAGCCCGCUCCCGGUAAAACGGGACGGCCCGCCAGAGGACCCCUAAACUCUGUUUCUAUAUGUAACUUCUGAGUAAAACCAUAAAUAAAUCAAAACUUUCAACAACGGAUCU